AAGGUUUCAUAUCAUCUGAUGAGAUGAUCUUGUGAUUUGAUGAUGCAAGAAGGGAAAGCAUGAUCUCAAUUUGGUCUUGCGUGAUGAUCUCCUGCGUAGCAGAUUGAAACAAAGCUUUAAUUUUAUCAAACUUCUCAGCUUCGAAAGACUUUCUGUGUGCAAAAAUCAUCUUCUGGAAGAGGGACCGCGCAGUCGAUAAUAGAAAAGUUUUUGUGUCUACUUCCAG
rnacentral:misc_RNA from 1 species